AGCUUGCUUUGUCACAAAGUCAAACACCAGCCCCUGACAUUUGUUCUUUAAUACAUGGAAUGUGGGUGAAGAUGGAGACAGAAGGGCAAGCCAGGAGGUGGAAUGGACACACAGGGCACAGCGGAGAAUGAAGACAAAAACAGAAAGAGAGAGAGAGAGAGAAACAGUGUUUAGAAGAGGACAGAGGCCCAUCUGUCUUAUCCCUUGUGCAGUUUUAUCAUGCAACAAGGAUGUGGGCCCAGAGUCUCCCAUGGGAAUUAGGCACCUAAAUAUCUUUGAGGAUCUGGGCUGUGCUGCCUGGAGAUGCUGUAGGCCCCUCACCCGCUACUGAGGACUGUUAACAGCUGCCAGGAAUAGUGCAAAGCUGGGGAUUUUCAUAAGAGCUGCCACACUGGGUCAGACCAACGGUCCAUCUAUCCCAGUAUCCUGUCUCCAAGAGCGACUGCUUAAAGAGCUUCACGGGGAGUGCACAGAACAGGCCAAGUUUGGAGCGACCCACCCCUUGUCUUCCACUCCUGGCUUCUGACAGUCAGAGGUUUAGGGAGACUCAGGGCAUGGGGUUGCAUCCCUGGCCAUCUUGGCUAAUAGCCAUUGAUGGACCUAUCCUCCAUGAACUGAUUAAUUCUUGUUUGAACCCAGUUAUAUUUCUGGCCUUCACAACAUCACCUGGCAACGAGUUUCACAGGUUAGUUGUACAAUCUGGUGAAAAAGUACUUCCUCUUGUUUGUAUUAAACCUGCUGCUUAUUAAUUUUA